rnacentral:lncRNA from 1 species
CGGAGCAGCUGGCGCAGCGGGACCCGGUUCAGGACGUGUGGGAGCAGCACGUCUUCCCAGGGCAGGUCCAGGAACCUGCGAGUAAAGGGGCGUUGGCACUGGCGUCCCGGGGCCACUAUUACCUGCGAGUCCGCCUCCGUUAUGUUCCUGCGCCCCAGCUCCCAAGAGCGGCCCCCAGACCCAGCCCCGGCUCGGCUCCCCUCCCUCAGGUUCCUCUUCCCUCUCGGCCCCUCCGGUGCUCGGUACCUGACGGCUCCGGGCUCUUGCUCCCCUCCGGACGGCUCCAUCGGUGGCUCCAUCGGCUGUCUAUUGCGCGUGCGCAGUAAGAUUUUCUCGCUUUGGCCUUGGAGUGGCCGCACCAAACCCGCCUCCUUGGCCUGUAGAGACAGACCUAUUUAAUCGAGUGCCGUCUCACCGAGGAUCCGAUCUGAAAGCUUUUCGGGUGGACCCCGAAACGGAGGCGGAACAGACCGGUGGUGUAACAUUAGGCCUUGCCUUCUCGGCUACAGGGCUUGAGGCCUGAAGCUGGAGAAUGCGGUGGGCAUCAGAGACUGGCUUCUGUCGUCCUCUUGAGCCAGUAGCCGCCUCUGAGCGAAGUGGUGGUGGGAGGAGCAGGCAAGGCCCAACGCGGAGGGGGCGGAGCCAGGACUCCUAGGUUACCGGCCUCUCCUCUGCCCUCUGGUCGCGUUUAGCGACUUUGAAAAACGGGGAGAAACUAUCCAGGCUCUUACUGUCUGCCACGUAGCAGGUCCCAGUCCCAGGAUCCGCUUCGGGGAACCCCAGGAGUAGCGCCUUCCCCCAUCAUCCACGGGAUGGGUGUGGGGGGAUGUGAAGGACGCGAGAGCCACUGCACCGCUGACGGUCUGGCGCUCCUUCGGUGCAACCGCUUCAGCUGGCUCAUCACAACGAAAACCACUUCUCAUCUGUUAUCUCGUCAAGGCUUCGGGCACCUCUGAAAGGUGGGCAGGUCUAUGCUAUCACUCCAUUUUAAAGAUGGGGAAACCGAGGCCCUGGAGAGGAAGCCCCUUGUCCAGAAUCAAGCCAGACGGGAAUAGAGAACCCAGACAUCUGGUUUUCCCAGAAUUCCUUCCACGUUUCCCCACCCCGCAAGGCAGCGAGAAGGGAGAAGCUAGCAGCGGGGAAAGACAAGAAAGGGGUCAAGUUAGGUGAGGGCUUGCUAUCUCUUCUUCCUCAGCCUGCUUAGGGAGGGGGUAGCUGGGAGGACAGACCCCUGCAAAGAUAGAGCCACGUGAGCGCGCACCACCUCCGGCCGCGCGCCUCGUCCCCCUCCCCUCUUUGUUCGCGUCUCU